UUGCCAAGAAGCGCAGAAAAAAAACAGGACUGUUCGCUUUCUAUCGACUAUCAAAAAAACUUUUGGCCACGCCCACCUUGAAUAAAUACGCAUUUCUUUUUUACAACGUAAAUUUAACCGCCCAAUAAUAUUGAAAAAAAAAAGAAAAAGUCCAGUGUACUGGUGGGAAAUGAAUGAUUAUUGCAACGAUAGAUUUUAUACGGAAAUUUUGUCAGCAUUACCAUUGAGUAAUUGUGAAAAUGGAAUCGUCCUGUACGUGUUUAAUGAUAAAUCCUUUCCGUCUGCUAUGAGUUUUUUAGAAAAAACUGGGAUUAUUGGACUGUAUACAACAUUUGUUUAUGUAGUCUCUAGAAUUAUCCGAUCCCUUAUUGCAAACAAUCACAGGCGAAUCAUGUUUGAAGAUUUGCCAUAUGUUGAUCGAGUCUUAAAGUUAUGCACCGAUAUAUAUUUAGUUCGUGAAACACAGGAAUAUCGGCUUGAAGCAUUACCAUUGAGUAAUUGUGAAAAUGGAAUCGUCCUGUACGUGUUUAAUGAUAAAUCCUUUCCGUCUGCUAUGAGUUUUUUAGAAAAAACUGGGAUUAUUGGACUGUAUACAACAUUUGUUUAUGUAGUCUCUAGAAUUAUCCGAUCCCUUAUUGCAAACAAUCACAGGCGAAUCAUGUUUGAAGAUUUGCCAUAUGUUGAUCGAGUCUUAAAGUUAUGCACCGAUAUAUAUUUAGUUCGUGAAACACAGGAAUAUCGGCUUGAAGAGGAUUUAUAUGGAAAACUUAUAUUUUUAUAUCGAUCUCCAGAAACACUAAUAAAAUGGACACGAUUUAAGGAAGAUAUUUCGGAAACUGCUCCUAGUUCCCAGCUGAGGAUUCAACGAAAUUAAUCUGCAACCUAUAGUAUGGAACUUGGGACGUAAAGUGUGAGAUCCUUGAUAUGUAUAACAAAUUCAUAAAUGGUAUAAUUAUUUAACAAAAAAUAAGAAAAUUCGAUUUCCUUUUA